rnacentral:lncRNA from 1 species
AUAGAAGAUUAUAUCUAGUUAAUUAAAUAAUUAUUAGAUAUUAGUUAAUUAAUAAUUUAGGUAUAAGGAAGAUUUAGUAUUUUUAUUGUUAUGAGGACUUUUGUGUUAUUGGGUUGUUUAAAUGGGUUUUGUGCAUUAGGCCCAUUAGGAGUAUUAUAUAUAUGUAGUGCCUUAUGCACUUUGAUCAAUCAAUGAAAUGAAUCAAUUUAUCUUUUAU